UGCCUCUCACCAUAAUAAACUGAACUUGUCAUAGAAAGUUCUGGCUCUGUUUGUCCAUAUUGGUUUAGAGUUUGAGAAAUGAAUUAGAAAUAAUAUAGCAAUUGGCUGAUUAUAAAGAUGAGGCCAUGGACAUCAAAUCAUUCUACCACAUGUUCCUUUUUAAUAAACACAUUAAGAUCUUUUUUUUUCCAUUUGUCCAAUUUUGUUGACUAACAUGAUAGACAGGAACUUUCAGAGAACCAUCAGACCAAUUUUCACAACCUGCUGCAACAUUUGCAUUUCACAAAAAUAAUCCUGACGAGCACUAAUAGAUGAAUGUUGGUGCCAUAAUAAAACAGUAUAAGGCAUAUUUACACCAUCUUUACAUAGAGAACACCAUAUACACAGGAAAACCACAGAUCUGGAACAAAAUUAAUUCAAUCCCCUACACACCUUAUAUAUAUCAGCUUGGCCUGAAACAAAUAUUCAUCCAAGCAACCUACUGGUCUUUCCUUUUUCGUGUGUGACUUAAUUUUAACAUUAUGCUCAUGCAAAAGAGAGAUUUGCUUUAUUGCGUUAACAAUGAGACAGUUGGGGACUGGGUUCUAUAACCAUCUUCUAAUAUUUUAUACUUCAUGUUGCUUCAUCCAUAUUAAGUCAUGUUUGUUGGUGACAUAACAUGGGGUGAUAUGAUGACUGGUGUUUGAUGGACUACAAAAUGACAAGAUGUCCAGUUGGCUAGAGCUUGAAAAAUCAAGAUUCCAAGAUUCUUGAUCAUGCACAUUUCCACUUCACGCUUACAAACUGCUUUAGAUCAGACACAUCAUUUUUCAUUUUGUAUGUGUUUGUUUCAUUUCUUUGUUUUUUUUUUCAUUUUUUUUAAAAAAAGAAACAAAACCAGGUACUGUCCACCAUCUACUGUGUACAGAAAGAGGAGCAGCAGCAAGGACCACACCAACUGCAGAAUAGACCAUAAGGAGGACAUCAGUCAGGAAUCAGAGGUUCUGCCUCAACCACUUGGCACACUGUCUCAACUUCCAGCCAGAAGACUGGGCCCAUAAGUAAGAAAAGCACCCUUCAACCUCAUUGAAGGAAUCUAUUCCUAGCCUUGUUUCACACCAACAUUGCUAUCCAUCAUCAGAACACCUGCCAUGAACCUACCCAUCACACUACAAAAGAAUGUCUUUAGUGGGAUAUCCACCAUCACUUUCUCCCUCAUCCAACAGGCUUCCUGCGUAUCUAGACAAGGAACUCAACAUUUCUUCAGCCCUAAUUCCAUCAAGACUAACAAUAAAGAACUGCAGAAUGGAUACA
rnacentral:lncRNA from 1 species